UACGUAGGGGGCGAGCGUUGUCCGGAUUUAUUGGGCGUAAAGAGCGUGUAGGCGGCCACACAGGUCCGUUGUGAAAACUCGAGGCUUAACCUCGAGACGUCGAUGGAAACCGUAUGGCUAGAGUCCGGAAGAGGAGAGUGGAAUUCCUGGUGUAGCGGUGAAAUGCGCAGAUAUCAGGAAGAACACCCGUGGCGAAGGCGGCUCUCUGGGACGGUACUGACGCUGAGACGCGAAAGCGUGGGGAGCGAACAGG
rnacentral:rRNA from 1 species